UACGGAAGGCAGCAGUGGGGAAUAUUGCACAAUGGGCGCAAGCCUGAUGCAGCCAUGCCGCGUGUAUGAAAAAGGCCUUCGGGUUGUAAAGUACUUUCAGUCGUGAGGAAGGUGUUAAGGUUAAUAACCUUAGCAAUUGACGUUAGCGACAGAAGAAGCACCGGCUAACUCCGUGCCAGCAGCCGCGGUAAUACGGAGGGUGCGAGCGUUAAUCGGAAUUACUGGGCGUAAAGGGCACGCAGGCGGUUAAUUAAGUUGGAUGUGAAAUCCCCGGGCUUAACCUGGGAAUGGCAUUCAAGACUGGUUAGCUAGAGUCUUGUAGAGGGGGUAGAAUUCCAUGUGUAGCGGUGAAAUGCGUAGAGAUGUGGAGGAAUACCGGUGGCGAAGGCGGCCCCUGGGACAAAGACUGACGCUCAUGUGCGAAAGCGUGGGGAGCAAACGAGGGAUUAGAU
rnacentral:rRNA from 1 species